CCCCCUUCCCCUCUUUCCCUUUUCCCUUUUCCCGCCUCCUUCCCUCGUUUUUUUCCCCCCCCUUGAUCCCACGGACAUGGCACGGCCACCUUAAAACGCCGCGCCGCCCCCCUCCUCCCGCGAUCGCCGGGGCCGGUAUGAGUCAGGUGUGAAACCCCCGCCGGGAGGAGGUCGUUCCCCUCGCUGGCUGCAGCCCUGACGCUGGGAUUUUUCCUUUUUUUGGCUUUUUUUUUUUUUUUUUUUUUUUUUCCCCCGGCCCCACCGCCUCCCUCCUUCCCUCCCUCGCUCCCUCCCUCCAGGAAUCCAGCGCUGCACCGAAGCCAGAAGAGAGGGAGCAAAACCCAGCCCAGGCCGAGAACUGCGUCCAGAAACCAAACCCGCCCUUUGCGUCGCGAAGGAGAUUUUUUUUUUUUUUUUUUUUUUUUAAAUCAAUACUAUUAUUAUUAUUUUUAUUUUUAACACCCCUGACCCGAGCACGGUGGCGGCAGCGGCGCCGGGGCAGGCAGGCUGUCCCGGUUAUUUAUUCUCUCCCCGCAGAGCUGUCCCUCCGGCUCACCAUGAUGUUCCGAGACCAGGUUGGCGUGCUGGCCGGGUGGUUCAAGGGCUGGAACGAGUGCGAGCAGACUGUUGCGCUGCUCUCCCUGCUCAAGCGCGUCAGCCGGACCCAGGCUCGCUUCCUGCAGCUCUGCCUCGAGCAUUCCCUGGCGGACUGCACCGAGCUCCACAUCCUCGAAGGGGAGGCCAACAACCCCGGAAUCAUCAACCAGUGGCAACAGGAAUCCAAGGAUAAAGCGAUCUCCCUCUUGUUAACCCACCUGCCUUUACUGAAGCCCGGCAACAUCGAGGCGAAGGUCGAGUACAUGAAACUCUUGCCCAAGAUCCUGGCGCACUCCAUCGAGCACAACCAGCACAUCGAGGAGAGCAGGCAGCUGCUGUCCUACGCCUUGAUCCACCCCGCCACCUCCCUGGAGGACAGGAGCGCCCUGGCCAUGUGGCUGAACCACCUGGAGGACCGCACGUCGGGGGGCUUCGGCGGGCAGGGCCGCGGCCGCUCGGACUCGCUGGACUACGGGCAGGCUCACUACUAUCACCAAAGACAGAACUCCGACGACAAACUCAACGGGUGGCAGAGCUCCCGGGACUCCGGCAUCAGCGUCAGCGCCUGCAGCUGGCAGGACAAGAACCUGGCCUGCGAGAACGGCCACCUGCCCCUCUACUCCUCCUCCUCCGUCCCCACCACCAUCAACACCAUCGGCACUAGCACAAGCACCAUUCUCUCAGGCCAGACACACCACAGCCCUUUGAAACGCUCUGUGUCCCUUACCCCACCCAUGAAUGUGCCAAACCAACCUCUAGGACAUGGAUGGAUGUCUCAUGAGGACUUACGAGCUAGAGGACCCCAGUGCAUCCCUUCCGAUCAUGCCCCCCUGUCUCCACAAAGCAGUGUAGCCUCUUCGGGAAGUGGUGGGAGUGAACAUUUAGAAGAUCAGCCUUCCGCUCGUAACACAUUCCAGGAGGAAGGGAGUGGGAUGAAAGAUGUCCCGGCCUGGCUGAAGAGCCUCCGGCUGCACAAGUACGCCGCCCUCUUCUCCCAGAUGACGUACGAGGAGAUGAUGGCCCUCACCGAAUGCCAGCUCGAGGCACAAAAUGUUACCAAAGGUGCGAGACACAAAAUAGUAAUCAGUAUCCAAAAGCUAAAAGAACGACAAAACCUGCUCAAAUCUCUAGAAGGGGACAUCCUGGAAGGCGGCAACUUGCGCGUCCCGCUGCAGGAGCUGCACCAAAUGAUCCUCACCCCCAUCAAAGCCUACUCCUCCCAGACCUCGAGCACGGAGGAGCACGGCCGGGACGUGGACUCGCACCGCCCCUCCUCCCUGCUGGGCUCGGACGGCCAAGGCUCGGGCUGCAAGGACUCCGCGGCGGCCGGGCUGCAGCAGCACCAUCUGCCGGGGUGCGAGGGAGAGUCCGGGGGAGCCCCUUUGCCCGAGGGGGACCUGCCCGGGCAGUUCACCCGGGUGAUGGGGAAAGUCUGCACACAACUUUUAGUUUCCCGACCCGACGAAGAGAAUAUAAGUUCCUAUUUACAGCUCAUAGACAAAUGUCUAAUCCACGAGGCGUUUACAGAGAUCCAGAAGAAGCGGCUGCUGUCAUGGAAACAGCAGGUGCAGAAACUCUUUCGGUCUUUCCCUCGGAAAUCCCUGCUGGAGCUGUCGGGCUAUCGGCAGCAGAGGAGCCGAGGCUUUGGCCAGUCCAACUCCCUCCCGACAGCCGGAUCCGCUGGGGCAGGGCUGGCACGGAGGAACCCCCGCCAGUUCCAGAUCCCCUCCCGAAACCUCCCCACGGCCCGCCUGGGGCUGCUGGGCCCCACGGGGCUGCUGGGCACCCCCCAGCGCAGCCCUGCCGCCAGCCCCGCCAUCCUCAAGCAAGGCAGACAGAACCUGUGGUUUGCCAACCCCGGGGGCAGUAACAGCAUGCCCAGCCGGAGCCACAGCUCGGUGCAGAGGACGCGCUCGCUGCCGGUCCACACGUCCCCGCAGACCAUGCUGAUGUUUCAGCAGCCAGAGUUCCAGGUGCCGGUGACUGAACCUGACAUCAACAACAGGCUGGAGUCCCUGUGCCUGAGCAUGACGGAGCACGCACUCAGCGGUGAGCAUUCCCUCCUCCUGGGGCUCUUCCAGCACGUCCACGCCGCCUCCGCCGAGCCCCCCAGCACCUGCCCCUGCCCCGUGCCCCCCAAAAGCUGGGACAGGCUGUGGCUGUGAGAGCCGGGCGCAGGGAUGCUCCCGUGGGAAUCUCGGCUUCCCUCGGCGAGGCGGCCGGGGCAGGGGGUGAAGCCGAACGCAGGGAUCGCACCGGCACUAGUGGAGUCUGUGCUAAUUAGCCACUCGUCAGCUUGCUAAUGAUAAUUAGUGUUAGCUCGCUACUCCCGUUAGCUCUCGAUAAAGCCCCUGCCCGCUCGCUGGGAUGGGUCACAGGCUUUGGAGUGUCGUGCCCUCGGAUCCCUCGUUCGGCUGGCGGUGCCCCGCCGCUGGGGGCUGCGCCCCCGCCGGGGGCCGUGCCGCACACAGCCGGGGUGCCAGCGGAUAACGGGCACGGGGAGGGAGGGGGACCGGGGCAGAAACCAGCAGGGAAGAUGGAAAAAGCAGCAGCAGCAGCAGCAGAGCGAUGGAGAGCCUGGUGCAGCACAAAGCACCGGCACCAGAAGCUCCCGGUGUCCCUUGGCGACGCUCUGGACCCCCAAGCACAAGGGAUGGCCCCCAGCGAUGGGAUGAGCACGGCAUCGCCCCGAUUCCCCAAAGACCGGCUCGGAAAUCCUGGACUGGGACGGAUUGGUUGAGGACAGGAACCCUCGGGGAGGACGAGUGCCAGCAGGAGCCCUCGGGGAGGACGAGUGCCACCAGGAACCCUCGGGGAGGACGAGUGCCACCAGGAACCCUCGGGGAGAACGAGUGCCACCAGGAACCCUCGGGGAGAACGAGUGCCAGCAGGCUCCCUGCAGAUGAGACAGCCCUUCCCGGGGAGAGGAGCAGGAGAACAAGGACUGUGGGAAGCAGCAGGGCCCUGGCAGCGUCCCCGGCUGGGAAAACAAGGACACUUCUGUCACCCGAAGCGUUUCUCCGCCGUGUGCCCAGCCGAGGCUUAGCUGUCUUGUUCCUCUGCAGGAUGGUGUCGACAGAACCUCCACGAUCUAGAAGGCGUCGCCACGGGGACGCUGGCCGGGACAACAACUGCUGCGGGUCCAGCGGCGAGGUCGGGGCUUGAGGGAGCCUCAGCGAUAGCUUGCAUCCUUUCUCCUCUCUCUCCUCUCCUCUCUCUCUCUCUCUUCUCUGUCUCUCUCUCUCCUGUUUUAAUUUUGUGAAUGUGUAGAUUGUCCUUGUGAACAUAUCAUUAGACUUGGAA